rnacentral:rRNA from 1 species
CCUACGGGAGGCAGCAGUGAGGAAUAUUGGUCAAUGGGCGGGAGCCUGAACCAGCCACGCCGCGUGAGGGAAGAAGGUACAGCGUAUCGUAAACCUCUUUUGUCAGGGAACAAAGGCGGGGACUAGUCCCCGGAUGAGGGUACAUGAAGAAACAGCCUCGGCAAACUACGUGCCAGCAGCCGCGGUAAUCCGGAGGAUGCGAGCGUUAUCCGGAUUUAUGGGGUUUAAGGGGUGGGCAGGCGGCCUGUUAAGUCAGCGGUAAAAGCCCGGGGCUAAACCCCGGCGAGCUGUUGAAACUGGGGAGCUGGAGUGGGAGAGAGGUACGCGGAAUGCGCGGUGUAGCGGUGAAAUGCUUAGAUA